rnacentral:rRNA from 1 species
AGCUCCAAUAGUGUAUCUUAAUGUUGUUGCAGUUAAAAAGCUCGUAGUUGAAUUUCUGGCACUCCAGCAGCCUUCGGGUAUGCAAGGGGUUGUCAUCCGCGUUGGAGCCGUAUGCGUGGCAACACCAUGCGGGGAAGGCGCAUUUUACUUUGAAGAAAUUAGAGUGUUCCAGGCAGGCUAUGCUUGAAUAUUACAGCAUG